rnacentral:rRNA from 1 species
GACAGAGGGUGCAAACGUUGCUCGGAAUCACUGGGCGUAAAGGGCGUGUAGGCGGGAAGGAAAGUCGGGCGUGAAAUCCCUGGGCUCAACCCAGGAACUGCACUCGAAACUUCUUUUCUUGAGUGCCGGAGAGGAAAGCGGAAUUCCUGGUGUAGAGGUGAAAUUCGUAGAUAUCAGGAGGAACACCAGUGGCGAAGGCGGCUUUCUGGACGGUAACUGACGCUGAGACGCGAAAGCGUGGGGAGCGAACAGG